AUGGCUUUUAAAGAUGCCAGAAAGACUUCCGUGGAGCCAGAGGUGGCGUGGCGAUUCACCUGAUUAGAAUCACCCUCACCAGCCGCAACGUGAAGGCUUUGGAGAAGGUAUGUGUUGACCUGAUCAGAGGUGCGAAGGAAAAGAAUCCCAAGGUGAAAGGACCGGUUCGGAUGCCUACCAAGACUCUGAGAAAUAAGUACAAGGAAAACUCCUGGUGGUGAAGGUUCUAAGACUUGGGAUCGUUUCCAGAUGAGGAUCCACAGGCGACUCACCGACCUGCACAGGCCUCCUGAGAUUGUCAAGCAGAUCACUUCCAUCAGUCUUGAGCCAGGAGUCGAGGUUGAAGUCACCAUUGCAGAUGCUCAAAUCAACAUUUUUAAUAAACUGAUAAUCAGUUGUUUAAAAAACAGUUCAGUACACAGGCCCUCAGUGGGGAGCACAGCAUUAAAAAGCCUUCACCCAGAGAAAACUCACCUGCAGGCCAAGAGGAAGGCAUCAGAGCGUUAA